CAAAACUGGGUGACUAAAGUCAAAGAAAAUGGAGUAUAGCACAUUAAUAGAAUUUUGACUGAAACUGCACCUGUAUUGUGUCUGCAAAGAAUGGAUAGCAGAAGUGGUGAAACAUCAAUAAGAAAUCAGAUAUGCCAAGAGAGGCAUUGGCUUGAGGCAACAAAGGGAUAAAAAGUCCCAAUGAGAAGCCAGUUCCUAAAGAAAAACACACACAAAAAAAAAUUCAUUACUGGAGGCUCACAUGCGGGGUCCCUCAGGGGACCAAGAUGGGUCCACUGUGCUUCCUCAUCCUCAU
rnacentral:lncRNA from 1 species